CAAAUAUGACGCUGACAAUUAUUAUUAUUAUUUUUUAAAUAAGGCUGUUGUUUUAUUUGUGUGCUGCUAGGUGGCGCCAAUAUUCUUCAGUUUCAGUUUGCUUUAUCAUGAAUGACAAUAUUAAAAAGUACAGACAGUAACUCAGCAUCCAGUGAUCGGAGCGGGCGAUUGGGGACAUAGGGUUCCAGAAGAUCUUUAAGAGAAUACUGCAGCUUGAUGCCUGUGUUGCUCCACAUGAAUACGUAUUUGUGGAUGAGGCUGGUUUCAAUGUGACCAGAAAAAGGAGACAUGGACGAAAUCUCAUUGGUCAUCGUGCCACAAUUGAUGUCCCGGGUCAGCAUGGAGGAAAUAUAACCAUGUGUGCUGCCAUUUCUAGAAAUGGUGUGAUCUCCCAUAAUGCCACCAUAGGCGUGCUGUGUUAUAUGGGCCUAUGGUGGCAUUAUGGCUGGUGUUCCUAGGUUCAAUGUAUCAAGGUCUUAUCCCCCCAGAAGGACCAGAGCUAACAAACUUUAUCAUUGUAUGGGACAAUGUCGGCUUCCACCACUCUGCGCUUCUCCGAGGGUGUUUUGAAGCUCCUGCACGCUUCUCAAUGGUGUUCCUCCCACCCUACUCUCCCUUCCUGAGUUUUUUUCCGCCUGGCGUUGGAAGGUGUAUGACCGUAAUCCCCAUGAGCAGACAACACUGCUCCAGCAUGUCAAGACAUCACUGCAGAGGCAGCUCAA